AACGAACGCUGGCGGCAGGCCUAACACAUGCAAGUCGAGCGAGGACUUCGGUCCUAGCGGCGGACGGGUGAGUAACGCGUGGGAACGUGCCCUUUGCUACGGAAUAGCCCCGGGAAACUGGGAGUAAUACCGUAUGUGCUCGAGAGAGGAAAGAUUUAUCGGCAAAGGAUCGGCCCGCGUUGGAUUAGGUAGUUGGUGGGGUAAUGGCCUACCAAGCCGACGAUCCAUAGCUGGUUUGAGAGGAUGAUCAGCCACACUGGGACUGAGACAUGGCCCAGACUCCUACGGGAGGCAGCAGUGGGGAAUCUUAGACAAUGGGCGCAAGCCUGAUCUAGCCAUGCCGCGUGAGCGAUGAAGGCCUUAGGGUUGUAAAGCUCUUUCAGGUGGGAAGAUAAUGACUGUACCACCAGAAGAAGCCCCGGCUAACUCCGUGCCAGCAGCCGCAGUAACAC
rnacentral:rRNA from 1 species